rnacentral:piRNA from 1 species
UACUCUGCCACGUGAGGACGCUCAUCCCUC